rnacentral:rRNA from 1 species
UACGUAGGGGGCUAGCGUUGUCCGGAAUCAUUGGGCGUAAAGAGCGUGUAGGCGGUCCGGUAAGUCCGCUGUGAAAGUCGGGGGCUCAACCCUCGAAUGCCGGUGGAUACUGUCGGGCUAGAGUGCGGAAGAGGGAAGCGGAAUUUCCGGUGUAGCGGUGAAAUGCGUAGAGAUGCGGAGGAACACCGAUGGCGAAGGCAGCCCCCUGGGCCAACACUGACGCUCAGGCACGAAAGCGUGGGGAGCAAACAGG